rnacentral:sRNA from 1 species
AUCCUGCUCCUGCUGCUCAUCAUUGCCCUCAUGCUCUGGCGGCUGCACUGGCGCAGGCUCCUCAGCAAGGUCCUAGAGAGCCACCCCCGUACCAGGAGCCCCGGCCUCGUGGGAAUCCGCCCCACUCCGCUCCCUGCGUCCCCAAUGGCUCUGGUGCACCUGUGUGAGGUCGACAGCCCUCAAGAU